AUUGAACGCUGGCGGCAGGCCUAACACAUGCAAGUCGAGCGGUAGAGAGGUGCUUGCAUCUCUUGAGAGCGGCGGACGGGUGAGUAAUGCCUAGGAAUCUGCCUAGUGGUGGGGGAUAACGUUCGGAAACGGACGCUAAUACCGCAUACGUCCUACGGGAGAAAGCGGGGGGAUCUUCGGACCUCGCGCCAUUAGAUGAGCCUAGGUCGGAUUAGCUAGUUGGUGAGGUAAUGGCUCACCAAGGCGACGAUCCGUAACUGGUCUGAGAGGAUGAUCAGUCACACUGGAACUGAGACACGGUCCAGACUCCUACGGGAGGCAGCAGUGGGGAAUAUGGACAAUGGCGCAAGCCUGAUCCAGCCAUGCCGCGUGCAGGAUGAAGGCCUCGGUUGUAACUGUCUUUGUCGGUAACGAACGGUAGAG
rnacentral:rRNA from 1 species